GGCCUAACACAUGCAAGUCGAGCGGUAGCACAAGGAGCUUGCUCCUGGGUGACGAGCGGCGGACGGGUGAGUAAUGUCUGGGAAACUGCCCGAUGGAGGGGGAUAACUACUGGAAACGGUAGCUAAUACCGCAUAACGUCUUCGGACCAAAGUGGGGGACCUUCGGGCCUCACACCAUCGGAUGUGCCCAGAUGGGAUUAGCUAGUAGGUGAGGUAAUGGCUCACCUAGGCGACGAUCCCUAGCUGGUCUGAGAGGAUGACCAGCCACACUGGAACUGAGACACGGUCCAGACUCCUACGGGAGGCAGCAGUGGGGAAUAUUGCACAAUGGGCGCAAGCCUGAUGCAGCCAUGCCGCGUGUGUGAAGAAGGCCUUCGGGUUGUAAAGCACUUUCAGCGAGGAGGAAGGGUUCAGUGUUAAUAGCACCGUUCAUUGACGUUACUCGCAGAA
rnacentral:rRNA from 1 species